UACGUAGGGUGCAAGCGUUAAUCGGAAUUACUGGCGUAAAGCGUGCGCAGGCGGUUUUGUAAGUCUGACGUGAAAUCCCCGGGCUCAACCUGGGAACUUGCGAUGGAGACUGCAAGGCUAGAAUCUGGCAGAGGGGGUAGAAUUCCACGUGUAGCAGUGAAAUGCGUAGAGAUGUGGAGGAACACCGAUGGCGAAGGCAGCCC
rnacentral:rRNA from 1 species